CACACUAUCAUUAACUGAAUCCAUAGGUUAAUGAGGCGAACCGGGGGAACUGAAACAUCUAAGUACCCCGAGGAAAAGAAAUCAACCGAGAUUCCCCCAGUAGCGGCGAGCGAACGGGGAGGAGCCCAGAGCCUGAAUCAGUGUGUGUGUUAGUGGAAGCGUCUGGAAAGGCGCGCGAUACAGGGUGACAGCCCCGUACACAAAAAUGCACAUAUUGUGAGCUCGAUGAGUAGGGCGGGACACGUGGUAUCCUGUCUGAAUAUGGGGGGACCAUCCUCCAAGGCUAAAUACUCCUGACUGACCGAUAGUGAACCAGUACCGUGAGGGAAAGGCGAAAAGAACCCCGGCGAGGGGAGUGAAAAAGAACCUGAAACCGUGUACGUACAAGCAGUGGGAGCCUCUUAAUGGGGUGACUGCGUACCUUUUGUAUAAUGGGUCAGCGACUUAUAUUCUGUAGCAAGGUUAACCGAAUAGGGGAGCCGAAGGGAAACCGAGUCUUAACUGGGCGUUAAGUUGCAGGGUAUAGACCCGAAACCCGGUGAUCUAGCCAUGGGCAGGUUGAAGGUUGGGUAACACUAACUGGAGGACCGAACCGACUAAUGUUGAAAAAUUAGCGGAUGACUUGUGGCUGGGGGUGAAAGGCCAAUCAAACCGGGAGAUAGCUGGUUCUCCCCGAAAGCUAUUUAGGUAGCGCCUCGUGAAUUCAUCUCCGGGGGUAGAGCACUGUUUCGGCAAGGGGGUCAUCCCGACUUACCAACCCGAUGCAAACUGCGAAUACCGGAGAAUGUUAUCACGGGAGACACACGGCGGGUGCUAACGUCCGUCGUGAAGAGGGAAACAACCCAGACCGCCAGCUAAGGUCCCAAAGUCAUGGUUAAGUGGGAAACGAUGUGGGAAGGCCCAGACAGCCAGGAUGUUGGCUUAGAAGCAGCCAUCAUUUAAAGAAAGCGUAAUAGCUCACUGGUCGAGUCGGCCUGCGCGGAAGAUGUAACGGGGCUAAACCAUGCACCGAAGCUGCGGCAGCGACACUAUGUGUUGUUGGGUAGGGGAGCG
rnacentral:rRNA from 2 species